GCGUAUUAGCUAGAUGGUGGGGUAACGGCUCACCAUGGCAAUGAUACGUAGCCGACCUGAGAGGGUAAUCGGCCACAUUGGGACUGAGACACGGCCCAAACUCCUACGGGAGGCAGCAGUAGGGAAUCUUCCACAAUGGACGAAAGUCUGAUGGAGCAACGCCGCGUGAGUGAAGAAGGGUUUCGGCUCGUAAAACUCUGUUGUUAAAGAAGAACAUAUCUGAGAGUAACUGUUCAGGUAUUGACGGUAUUUAACCAGAAAGCCACGGCUAACUACGUGCCAGCAGCCGCGGUAAUACGUAGGUGGCAAGCGUUGUCCGGAUUUAUUGGGCGUAAAGCGAGCGCAGGCGGUUUUUUAAGUCUGAUGUGAAAGCCUUCGGCUCAACCGAAGAAGUGCAUCGGAAACUGGGAAACUUGAGUGCAGAAGAGGACAGUGGAACUCCAUGUGUAGCGGUGAAAUGCGUAGAUAUAUGGAAGAACACCAGUGGCGAAGGCGGCUGUCUGGUCUGUAACUGACGCUGAGGCUC
rnacentral:rRNA from 1 species